CCUACGGGAGGCUGCAGUGGGGAAUAUUGGACAAUGGGGGGAACCCUGAUCCAGCCAUGCCGCGUGUGUGAAGAAGGCCCUCGGGUUGUAAAGCACUUUCAGUGAGGAAGAACGCCUGGUGGUUAAUACCCAUCAGGAAAGACAUCACUCACAGAAGAAGCACCGGCUAACUCCGUGCCAGCAGCCGCGGUAAUACGGAGGGUGCGAGCGUUAAUCGGAAUUACUGGGCGUAAAGCGCGCGUAGGUGGCUUGAUAAGCCGGUUGUGAAAGCCCCGGGCUCAACCUGGGAACGGCAUCCGGAACUGUCAAGCUAGAGUGCAGGAGAGGAAGGUAGAAUUCCCGGUGUAGCGGUGAAAUGCGUAGAGAUCGGGAGGAAUACCAGUGGCGAAGGCGGCCUUCUGGACUGACACUGACACUGAGGUGCGAAAGCGUGUGUAGCAAACAGGAUUAGAUACCCUUGUAGUC
rnacentral:rRNA from 1 species